rnacentral:ribozyme from 1 species
GGGAAUUUGGAUAUGGGCGUCUGGAAAAAGACAGCCCAAAAGACAAGUUUUCCACGAUGCCUCGAACCACUUUUUUUUUUAAUUCCUCUGUUUUUUUUUUAAUUAAAAAAAAAACAGAGGAAUUAAAAAAAAAAGUGGUUCGAGGCAUCGUGGAA